UACGUAGGGUGCGAGCGUUGUCCGGAAUUACUGGGCGUAAAGAGCUCGUAGGUGGUUUGUCGCGUUGUUCGUGAAAUCUCACGGCUUAACUGUGAGCGUGCGGGCGAUACGGGCAGACUAGAGUACUGCAGGGGAGACUGGAAUUCCUGGUGUAGCGGUGGAAUGCGCAGAUAUCGGAAGGAACACCAGUGGCGAAAGCGGCUUCCUGGUCCGACACCGACGUUCAGGCACGAAAGCGUGGGGAGCAAACAGG
rnacentral:rRNA from 1 species